rnacentral:rRNA from 1 species
GAUGAACGCUGGCGGCGUGCCUAAUACAUGCCAGUCGAGCGAACAGACGAGGAGCUUGCUCCUCUGACGUUAGCGGCGGACGGGUGAGUAACACGUGGAUAACCUACCUAUAAGACUGGGAUAACUUCGGGAAACCGGAGCUAAUACCGGAUAAUAUAUUGAACCGCAUGGUUCAAUAGUGAAAGACGGUUUUGCUGUCACUUAUAGAUGGAUCCGCGCCGCAUUAGCUAGUUGGUAAGGUAACGGCUUACCAAGGCGACGAUGCGUAGCCGACCUGCGAGGGUGAUCGGCCACACUGGAACUGAGACACGGUCCAGACUCCUACGGGAGGCAGCAGUAGGGAAUCUUCCGCAAUGGGCGAAAGCCUGACGGAGCAACGCCGCGUGAGUGAUGAAGGUCUUCGGAUCGUAAAACUCUGUUAUUAGGGAAGAACAAAUGUGUAAGUAACUAUGCACGUCUUGACGGUACCUAAUCAGAAAGCCACGGCUAACUACGUG